GACCUGAUGGCACAACGGUUAGUGUGUCUGCUCACUAUGAACAUUGAAGAAAUAUUGCAUAUGCAGAAGAUCCCGAUUCGAAUCCGGGUCAGGUCG